GAUGAACGCUGGCGGCGUGCCUAAUACAUGCAAGUCGAGCGAACAGAUAAGGAGCUUGCUCCUUUGACGUUAGCGGCGGACGGGUGAGUAACACGUUGAUAACCUACCUAUAAGACUGGGAUAACUUCGGGAAACCGGAGCUAAUACCGGAUAACAUAUUGAACCGCAUGGUUCAAUAGUGAAAGGCGGCUUUGCUGUCACUUAUAGAUGGAUCCGCGCCGUAUUAGCUAGUUGGUAAGGUAACGGCUUACCAAGGCAACGAUACAUAGCCGACCUGAGAGGGUGAUCGGCCACACUGGAACUGAGACACGGUCCAGACUCCUACGGGAGGCAGCAGUAGGGAAUCUUCCGCAAUGGGCGAAAGCCUGACGGAGCAACGCCGCGUGAGUGAUGAAGGUCUUCGGAUCGUAAAACUCUGUUAUCAGGGAAGAACAAAUGUGUAAGUAACUGUGCACAUCUUGACGGUACCUGAUCAGAAAGCCACGGCUAACUACGUG
rnacentral:rRNA from 1 species